CAAUGUUAAUGGUUUUCAGAGUCGGGCGGCGCGUUCUGCUCGUCACCUUCUGGUGCCCUUCGUCAUUUUACGCGGAGUUGGUGGUCUCCAUGGUUACUUUGAAGUUGCGUGUUCCUCUCCUAACCUUUGCGAGAUAUAUACCCAGAAGUGGGAUUGCUGGAUCAUUUGGUAAAUCAAGAGACAUCUUAGAACCAGCACUACUUGGAGACAAUGGUGGAAAAUAAGGAUCUUCUACUAAAGACAUGUAAGAAUGUACACUAAAAGCAUUAGAGUCGUAC